UUAGUGGAAAGCUUACUUAAUUACUGCUUGUAACAAGCUAAAUAAAAACCAUUUUCCUGUUCUCUGCUUGUGUUUGAAAGUUGAAAAAAUUAAUCUUUCUCUGCACAGUUAACUGGUGCCACACACUUACUCUUUUUAAACACAUCAUUACAGAACAGCUGAACUUUGAAACUUGGCAAUUUCUAAUAUCUUUAGUAAUCUAUCUCUAAGUAUAUUUGAAAGACUUUACUUUGUCUGAAAUUUUAAUAAACACAAGAUUUACAGGGUAUUGCUGAGUACCAGGACUGUCAAGGAGUUAAAACCCCAUCCCACCAAAAGGCGGUAAACAGCAAUCAGUACCAAUGGACAGCCCUGUAUAGUCCACUCAAAUGUGAGGAAUUCAGCAGCAGUUCAAGAUCUGACCCCGAGGGCAGAACUGGAAGGAGCUGUGAGAGGUCCUGUGGGGCAUCCUCAAUGAAAAGUCCAAUCUACAUGUUGUCUUUGCUUUCAGAUUAACUAUUGUGUUUUGUGGAAGAUUUUAUUAAUUUUUUUUUUUUUUGUAAUUAUUUUUUUGUUAAGACCAUGAGGGGCAUUUCCCAACUUCCCUGAUAAAAUGUAUCCAUCUUCACAUCUGGAAACCUUUACCUAAAGUCUAACCUGGAUCUUCCUUAAUGUUACCUCUUUGAAUACCUACCAUGCAGUUCUUUUUGCAGGAUGAAUCUACCAGUCUUUGAGGUUAGCCUCUAAGAAAACUUCUAGCCUCUGUAACACAGCAGUUUGCAUUUUCUUUAUUUCGCUUGACAAGCACAAGUGCUGUUAGUCUCCGAGUAUUGCUGGCUGCGUUGUUUGAGGGAGGAAAAAAAACACUUCUCAAAUGAAACACCGCAUCAGCACUGAAAUUAUAAAAUAUAUUUCAAGUACAACCUAAAAGAAGAUCAGGAAAUCUGAAAAUGUGGGAGCAGAAUAACAAUCCAUCAAAGAAUGACACAUUAGCAUGGAGACUGUCACACUGCUUGUCCACUUGUCACAGCUGAACUCUAAGCUAUUCAGCCAACACCCUGAGACUGACCCCAACCAAGGUGGUGGCUCUACACGAUACCUCCUGCAUUGAAAACAUGGAAGAUUCCUGCUGCUUCCCAAAGUGUCUUAAAGGAAAAGGUUCAUCAAGGACUGGAAGCAACCAAGUCCAGAAAUGCGACUGGAGACCGUCACAAAUGAGACGUGGUGACUGGUGCAUCACAGUGUUCUGACAUGAGUGUUAGGUAAGUACAGCAUGUCUCCUGGAAUGAUUUAGCACUCCAUGUGCAGUGAUUAGCACACCUAUAGCCUGAAGUGAAGGCUUCUGCUUUCCCAACAUAGACUUUGUCCCACCUGUUCUUCAUGUCCCACACUCACAGCCCUCUAUGACCAAGGCAGUGGUUUUGGAAGAACAUUCUGUCUCCCAGCAUUGCUCAUGAACAAGUAUUGCGGUGAUGAGCCUGCUGGAGCAGCUUCAGUAACUAUUGGCAUUUCAAAUCAUCUUGCUAUUUUUUAUCAAAUAACUAUAUGGUGCAUUUGGCUUGUGCAAAAAGUACUGUUCAGUGACAGUUGUAACCACUGGAAAGAACACUUUUGAAAGAAUGUUUAUAUUUCCUAAGAACUAAAGAAAGUAUAUGACAUUUUCCUGUAUCUAUAAACAACACAAUUUGAAUAAUAUAUUGUGCCAAUAAAGAUGUCAAAAUCUUGUUGAAAAAUGAAUAUGAAAUGUCUGCUUUAUCAUUCAUAUUCCAGGUUUUCUGAGGGAGCCAGCCUAGGCUUUAAGAUGUAUCAUUUGUGCAAGAGAGAAUAAUUAUUAUUCAUCUGUCUCUCUGAAAAUUAAAAUCCAAAAUACAUACACUGGUAAACAAGUUUUCCUAUAUCUUUGCUACAGGAACUGAAUCCAUUGAUUAUAUUAAAUGUGAAUUGUUUUCCUGGCCACUCUCCCACAUUGUGGAGAGCCAUUCAAAUCAUGUUUCCUUGAACAUUUAGCAGCUGGCAAUUACUGGUUGCAGACUACCUUCCAAGAAGACAGUGUGCAUACAAACAAAAUAUACAGUAUUAUACACCUACUUACAUAUACGGAGGAGAAUAAGGCACAUUUAUCCCUUCAUUAAUAAGUAUAUCAGCUUUCACAGUGGUGGAACGAAGGAUCUUCACUAGGGAAUUGAUUCAGCAAUAAGUUUAUCAGUAUUACUGACUUUGCAGGGUCCGUUUCUUGGAGAAUGGACAGCAGCUUCCAGUAUCUUUGUCUACUGUGAGUGCAACAAUAAAAAGAAUAAAAAGAAUAUUCAGAACAAGCACUAUUAAAUUCACCAAGAAUCACUUGAAACCUGGUCCAAAUCCUGCUGAGGUUAAAAAACGUGAUCCAUUGCAGCAGCAGGACCAUGAGAAAAGUAGUUUCUCAAAAACAUGCGUUUCUGAUGCUAACUUGAAACCUAUUUGCUUUGUUUACCAGUAAAAACAUUGUGAUAAUGGACUAGAUGCCGAGAAGAUCAUUUGUCAUUUUGAACCUGGUAACAGGAUUGAAAGCCAUAUAGCAUAUAAUUUUAGGUAAUAAAUAGCACGCUUUGGACGUAGACAACCAAUCUUAAGCAUCAGAAGAGGGUACGCCUUUGGAAGCAGGCAGUACCUCAUCUCUUUGGAUGUUGCCUGUACAGAAGUUCAUCUUUCCAUCCCUGUGACAGGCCCUUCAGCCUCUCACUAUAGCAACAGUUGCCCCAGGUUGAGGUGGCAAUACAUAUAACCAACUUUAAUAUUCAGCUUCAGCUACAUGGUGACAUUUGGAUAGACAAUGUAUGCAGCAAGUUGUAACAUUUCUUCGCAACCAAAGCUAGAAGCCUGCUGCAAAAAUGAGGCACUUAAUUGCUCAAGCCUGACUCAUGAAAAUGACCACUUUCUACACACAGCUCUCCACUGACUUGACUGUACUUAUUCAUAAGAAUGAUAGCAGUUGGUGUAACAAGGUCAUGCCUACAACAACGCUUCUGCAGCGCACCAUACCAGACAGCAAAGAACACUGCUUCAUUUCUUCAGGAAUGUUCUCUUUGCUUUUUUCUGGUUGGGCUGAAGGGCUUACAUAUUUGUGUGUGUGUAUGUUUAUAGAUGUAUAACGUGUACAGCUUUAUUUCCCUCUUUUAAAUUCUUUGGAAAUACAAAGCAAAACAAGAAUUUUGGAGUGACUAAGAAACAUGUAGGUGAGAUAUCUGUCAGUUCUUAAUAGAAGGAUGGCAAGUGCUAAGUUCUUACAAAAAGCAUUUCUUUUCCUGUAAUGGUUCAGCAAAAUUAGUUGUGUGACAGAAGCUCAAAAGCAAAGAAAUGUAUUCUCAUCUAGGCAAGACUGAUUUACUGAAGGCACUUUUAUCUCAGUACAAAUUAAAAUCAAACUCAGCACACUGCGAAGACGAGAAAUCACCGAUUUCAGAAUAAAUCAAGAUUAACUUGCCCGAUAUCUGUAAUAUUCUAAAAAGAUCCAUUUUCAUGUAAUUCACAGAGCCCUGUAGAGAGUUUGAACUAAGUUAAAACUGAAGGAGCAGCAUAAUAAUCUUCUACCACUACACUGUUCACCUUUGUAUAUCAAAAACACACAUGAAAAAAGACGUCUGGUUGUACUGGUAUGGGUUAUUUGGGAGAAGGGUGUAGAGAUGGUGUGUGUUUGUGAGAGUCACAGUCCAGCCAUCUCUACCAUGUCUCUGCGAUGCAUGGAAGAUAUGUAGAUAUACAUGUGUAUAUCUACCACCUGUGCUUUGCAAACCAUACAGACUUGCUCGUCAGUGAGUUCCUGCAAGAAACCCCAAACACUGGAAACACUUUAAGGUAGGAGAUCAGACCUGUAGAAACCCCAGCAAAUAGUGAUCUUUCUCCAGCUGUGGUGCUUUGUUUUACAUAUUUUUCAGGGGUGCACUGGGAUGAUGACUACUUUUAAGAUACUGUUUACUCUCACUUUGGACAAAGGAGCUCUGUGCAAUAUAUAAAGAAAGAAUACAGUCAGCUGCAGGCACAAUAUAAAAAUCCAAAUUUCAUUAACUGGAAA